rnacentral:rRNA from 1 species
AUUGAACGCUGGCGGCAGGCCUAACACAUGCAAGUCGAACGGUAACAGGGAUCAGCUUGCUGAUUCGCUGACGAGUGGCGGACGGGUGAGUAAUGUCUGGGAAGCUGCCUGAUGGAGGGGGAUAACUACUGGAAACGGUAGCUAAUACCGCAUAACGUCGCAAGACCAAAGAGGGGGACCUUCGGGCCUCUUGCCAUCGGAUGUGCCCAGAUGGGAUUAGCUAGUAGGUGGGGUAACGGCUCACCUAGGCGACGAUCCCUAGCUGGUCUGAGAGGAUGACCAGCCACACUGGAACUGAGACACGGUCCAGACUCCUACGGGAGGCAGCAGUGGGGAAUAUUGCACAAUGGGCGCAAGCCUGAUGCAGCCAUGCCGCGUGUAUGAAGAAGGCCUUCGGGUUGUAAAGUACUUUCAGCGGGGAGGAAGGGAGUAAAGUUAAUACCUUUGCUCAUUGACGUUACCCGCAGAAGAAGCACCGGCUAACUCCGUG